UACGUAGGGGCUAGCGUUAUCCGGAUUUACUGGGCGUAAAGGGUGCGUAGGUGGUUUCUUAAGUCAGAGGUGAAAGGCUACGGCUCAACCGUAGUAAGCCUUUGAAACUGGGAAACUUGAGUGCAGGAGAGGAGAGUGGAAUUCCUAGUGUAGCGGUGAAAUGCGUAGAUAUUAGGAGGAACACCAGUGGCGAAGGCGGCUAUCUGGACAGUAACUGACGCUGAGGCGCGAAAGCGUGGGGAGCAAACAGGAUUAGAUACCCUGGUAGUCCCUGAG
rnacentral:rRNA from 1 species